UGUCGUACUAGAAGCUAUGGAUUCGGAAGAUGAAAACGAUUUUGACUUCGGUUUUUAUGAUGGAAUGGAACUAGAAAAAAUUCUUGGACUCACGAAAAAUAACGUGAAAAUGAAAAUGUCGUACUAGAAGCUAUGGAUUCGGAAGAUGAAAACGAUUUUGACUUCGGUUUUUAUGAUGGAAUGGAACUAGAAAAAAUUCUUGGACUCACGAAAAAUAACGUGAAAAUGAAAAUGUCGUACUAGAAGCUAUGGAUUCGGAAGAUGAAAACGAUUUUGACUUCGGUUUUUAUGAUGGAAUGGAACUAGAAAAAAUUCUUGGACUCACGAAAAAUAACGUGAAAAUGAAAAUGUCGUACUAGAAGCUAUGGAUUCGGAAGAUGAAAACGAUUUUGACUUCGGUUUUUAUGAUGGAAUGGAACUAGAAAAAAUUCUUGGACUCACGAAAAAUAACGGUAAACUUUUCUUUUUAAUUAAGUGGAAAAAUCAAGUAUCCGCAGAUUUGGUGC